rnacentral:rRNA from 1 species
UACGUAGGUGGCGAGCGUUGUCCGGAUUUAUUGGGUUUAAAGGGUGCGUAGGCGGGUGACUAAGUCAGGGGUGAAAGACGGUGGCUCAACCAUCGCAGUGCCUUUGAUACUGGUCGCCUUGAGUGCGGGCGAGGUCUGCGGAAUGGACCGUGUAGCGGUGAAAUGCUCAGAUACGGUCCGGAACACCGAUUGCGAAGGCAGCAGACUGGGGCGCAACUGACGCUGAGGCACGAAAGUGCGGGGAGCAAACAGG